UACGUAGGGUGCAAGCGUUGUCCGGAAUUAUUGGGCGUAAAGAGCUCGUAGGCGGUUCGUCGCGUCGGCUGUGAAAACCCGGAGCUUAACUCCGGGCCUGCAGUCGAUACGGGCGGACUGGAGUUCGGCAGGGGAGACUGGAAUUCCUGGUGUAGCGGUGAAAUGCGCAGAUAUCAGGAGGAACACCGGUGGCGAAGGCGGGUCUCUGGGCCGAUACUGACGCUGAGGAGCGAAAGCGUGGGGAGCGAACAGG
rnacentral:rRNA from 1 species